UACGUAGGGUGCGAGCGUUAAUCGGAAUUACUGGGCGUAAAGCGUGCGCAGGCGGUUCGUUGUGUUGGCGGUGAAAGCCCCGGGCUCAACCUGGGAAUGGCCGUUGAAACUGGCGAACUGGAGUGUGGCAGAGGGGGGUGGAAUUCCGCGUGUAGCAGUGAAAUGCGUAGAGAUGCGGAGGAACACCGAUGGCGAAGGCAGCCCCCUGGGCUGACACUGACGCUCAGGCACGAAAGCGUGGGGAGCAAACAGG
rnacentral:rRNA from 1 species